GCAUCAAACUAUGUUCUGAUAGUAUAUCAGGCUAUCAAUAACAUUAUAUCACUGAUCAAUAGGCUCUGCAUUAAACCAAAACUCUUUCUGAAGUGAGAAUCUCUUCUUUAUCUGCCAAAAUUCAUGAGGAAGAAACACCAGGUUACCUUGACUUAUGGACAUAGAUCCAUGGAUAUGAACUCUGAAUUGCAUAAUCAUGCUGAAUGUUAACAGUUACUAACAAUGAGUUAUCAAAGCUGAGUAACACUCAACAACCUUAUACAUAAUUGAGUCACCUUACUUCUGCCAAGGCAUAGCCUGAGGACAUGAAAGAAUUAAAGAAUGACUGUGAAGUGAAAAAUAACCACAGCGUAACAUUUGGAUGGAAAGAAAAAUGGCUAAAACGAGGCACAAUGAACAGUGAGCCAAGGACUCUGUGAGGGAGAAGAAUCCAUGGGUUAUUAGAAGCUGUGACAUAGUGACUGUGUAUUACUUGACUGGGUGUAUCACUGAAGAGAACCUGCAAGUUUCAGCAUCUUCAUCAUUAUCAUUGCCAGCAUCAUCAACAUAAUCACUAUCACUUACACUCACACACUUCUUAUCCGCUAUGACUGUAGAGUAAUAUAGCCUUCACAUUGUUUCCACAUACUAUGCUCAUUUGCUUCUCACAAAACUCUGUGUGGUUGUUAAGGCAGCUAUUUCUAUAAUUUCACUGGAAGUUUACCUUGUGUCCCGAAAGAAAAAAUAAAUACAUUGUAAAAGUUAAAAGCACAAAACACUACAAUUUGGAUCAAGUUGCGUGUAAAAACAAAAUCUGGAUACCUAUAGCACAGCUACUAAUCAUACGGUUACCUUCAUUAUUGAUUUCCAGAAGAACAUCCUUCUUUUAAGAAAAUAUAUCAUUGCACUGAAGACUGGUGAUUUUAACCAUUCUCGUUGUACCUUUACUUUAAUGCCCCUUUAACAUUUUUAUGCAAAAACAACACUAAUACUUUCCAGGCAUUUCAUUAGAAACACUGGAUUCAUAUAAGGUAAAAUACAAAGUGAGAAGUAGCAAUAAGAUUAUAAUGAGCAUCAUAUAAUCACUCAUCAUUCAUGGCAAAAGAAAUCAAACCAAAAUAGCACAAAACACCAGCCAAGUAGGAAUGAGGAAAUGCUGCCCCCUACAAUCAUUAUUAUGAAUGUGGGUUCUUUAAUUUCACUUGAGCUCAUAAAAGCAUAGUCUAAUAUAAUGUAUCCCUGUCUCUUCAAUUGACCAUCAUUUACCUUCCCGUCCAGAAAACACAUUUAUGAAUUAGGUUCAAAACCAUUUUUGGUUGUGUGCAUUUCAUACUCCAAGAUUCCUGCUGAAUGGUGUUAUAGAAAGUACAGUUAUUAGUGCUGAAAUUCACCUCAAUUCUAUUUCUGAAAAAAGGUCUCUUAAGCACUUGCCAGAG
rnacentral:lncRNA from 1 species